GGAAAUGAGCAGCCACAUGCCAAAAUGUGAAAACCACAGAGAGAAAUCACUCUCACACACCAAAUAAACGUAGUUUUCUCUGCAGCUGAUGGUGUUAUGAAACAGACUUUUGCUUUUACUGGGUUGAAAACAUAUAUUCUUCCAAGGUCUGUGCAUUGUUUGUGCUUAAUCAGAUACAGUCAGGCCGCUCUUGCAGCUGUGAAGUUGUGAAGGCAAACACCAGCGAGCCAUACCUUCUUCCUGCAGAAAAACAGCUCGAGGAGCAACGGGAGGAAACACAGCUCUAUCCUGCAGCGAGGGGGUCUGCGCAGGAGGUAGGCGCUGCUCUCACGGUGAGAAGGCAGCACCGAGCUGCCCGGCGGGGCGUGCAUACGUACUGAGCGAGCUACAUGUGCCGCGUGUCAUCACGGAUGCUUUCAAGUCCCUCCCUCCCUCUCCGCUGUCGGGGCUGUCCGUGGGAACCGGGCGGGAGGAGCGCCGCAGCCCCGUGGGGACUGAACGGGUCUCGGAGGGCUGCGGUAAGCACGGGACAGCGGGGGAAGGAGGGCUGCGGGCGGAGCGCUCCUCGUGGGUCAGCGCAGCGGCAGCGGGCGUGGGGGGACAGGGAGCCGGGCUGAGCGUCGGAGCUCCCCGCCGGCCCCGGGGCGGCCAGGCGGUGGGAUACCGGGAUCGUGUCGGUGUGCUCUUCUCCAUGGCGUUCGUUUCCCCGAACCCCUGUGUGAAGAGUGAAGAAAGAGAGGCGUUUUUCUUUUAAUUCUGAGUUUCGUGUUAUUUUGGAAGUCUGAAGUUCUUUUCCUUCUUCCCUUUUCUUUCUUUUCCUCCUUUUUCUUUUUUGGGGGAUGAGGAAUAGAAAACAAAGUUUCAAGCUAAUUCCAAAGUCUUUGUUUGAUCAACUGUUCAGGCAACUCUUCCAUACAGCAUCUCUGCACAGACAAGCUGAAUGCAUUUUAAGAAUAACUUAACUUGCUUCUGCCAACGAAGGGGUAGAAACAUUCAUGCUCUUGGUGGCAAUCCUCCUCUCCUCUCUAUCCUUCUUCUCUCAUGUCUGAGUUCAUCUUCUACGCCAUUUACUUUGACAAUGAUCAUUGGCAGCUACUUCACUGUGCUGACUCAGUGGCACGUGUGCUACAAAUUAGCAAUACAGUAACUGUAUGAAGCCUGUCCUGGUUAAAAGCCUUUCUGCCCAAGCAGUUGUCAUGAGCAAGUUUGUUGGGAAGAUCGUGGGAACUCUGAAGUUGUGCACAGCUCCCCCUUCCCUCCCACCAAUGCAGUGCUGUUUGUGUUAUGCCAGGACACUUGCUCUUUCUUGCCACUGGUUGCUGAGCUGUGCCAGCAGCACUCUGACCUUCUGUGAAGGGAAUACGUCAAGGAGCUGUCUCAGUCCAUCCUAACCCUCUGCCUGAUAGCAAACAGUGGGCUGAGACUUAACCAUAAAUGUCACUUAAGGUGCAUCUGGAUGUGUGAUGGAGUGAAUAACCUCUUGUCAGCAUGGGUCCCAGGCCACGCGCAGCUCAACUGGUUCUCAGUAAUCACUUCUAACUUCUUCUGAUACAUUUUAAAUGUUCUGCGUCAGUGAAAAUUCAGAUUCAGUGUUUCUGAGCAAGCAGUGGCAUUCACGGUAACUUACAGAGCUGCCAAGUCAUGAAAUACAGAGCCCUGGCAGACGAGAUUUUAUAGAGUUUGUUUUUGGACAUGUGUCCAUGUGUUUGGAUACAACUUACAAUGAGAUUAUACUGUUGGGAGCAUUCUUUUGGAUCCCACUAACUUCAGAAGGAGCUGUGUGUGUAUACAGUUAAACAGAAUUUGGUCUGUGGCAGUCUUAUGUCCUAUAUAAAACACAACAUCACUGGUAUCUGGAGGUGUAACCUUUGCUCUGUGUCUGCUGACUACAGCAUAGGCUUUGCUUGCUUCUACCUGGGAGGAUGAGAGCAGUAUUUGCACCUUGGAAGAGCAGGGAGAGUAUAGAUGACUGAAUGCUACUGUGUAUGUGCAAAUAUGAUGCUGGUGAAAGGUGGUAUGGAGCAUUCAGGGACAGUUUUCAAAAUGUCAUUCACAUGUUCAAAUUCCCAGGCCCAGAGACUUGGAAAAGGUCAGGAGAUCCCUGUAAAAAUAGCUGGGAUAGCAGGUCGAAGAGAAUGUCUGAAGUCUAGAUGUGUAUAUGUACUCAUGUAUAGGUGUUAUGGAAAAUACUAUUUGAGUUUGCAACUGGUCUAUCUGUCUUUCUCCACUCAUUCCAAACAAAAUUUGCUGAGACUUUGACGUUUAUGAUGGAUAAAUUGUCAGGGAGCUCUGAUCAUUGGCUGAGGCUCUCCUCACCUCAUGUAUUCAUCUCUGAGUGGCAGUGCAACAGCAAUACCAUGACCUGCCCCUUCUUUCCUUCGGAUGCUCCGUAAGCUGGCACAAAAAGCUCUCUGUGCUGAGGAAGACCACAAAAUGCCUAAGGAUGGAGAGCAAUGGGAAGGCCUAGGGUUUGGGAGCUGCCUUAAAAAACCUCUGAGCAUACAGCAGCUCUCAUAGAGAGGUAUUUAUAGCCAUAUGUUUGUAAUAAGCAGUGAAGGGGAGUGCAGGUGGCGAGUCACCUCCCUGGUGGUUUGUAGGAGUUACUAGGAUUAAGCUAUGAAAGCAAGUACUUGCAUGAGAUUCUUCUUGAAGAAUAAGGCAUAAUAAAUACAGUUCACAUUUACUAUUUCUUUUGGUGUACAUUAAUCUCAAAGUUGUACUGAAAGCUCGUGUUUAUUAACAGUAGAUAUUCAGAACUAGAGCUGCAUAGACGGAAUAUUUUUGUCAGGUAAAAUUUCUGAAAAUGACAUAAAAUAAUUCAUUUUGAGUGUAGCUGACUCUACAUUUCAAGAAAUAUAUAUAUACACACACAUAUAAUAAUAGAAAAGAGUCUGUAAUCCAAUCAGCCCCAUGCUUAAGACCAGGGCAGCCAAACAAGCUUCACACAUCUAGUUUAGUUGUCCUUCCUACAUUUCUGUGGAAAAACUGAUAUUCCCAAAAGGGAAUAAAUGCAUUCCAGUUAUGCUGCAGUAUUAUGAAUGUUGUCUAUACAAAUACUGCUGGCAAUGACAAAAAAAAAUAUUUGUCAUCUCUCUGUCUUUUAGCACUCUUGUGGGUAGCAUUCACAGUUUAGGCUGGUCAUUAUCUCAGCAGUUUGAGAGGAAGUGAUGGUCCCCUCCCGAUCUUGAGAGACAUUGGUUAUGAAUAGGAGCAGUGAUGGAAUCGCAGCUCUCCUGCUGAGAGUGAAAUCUCUUCCUGAUUGAAGUCCGUGACAAAACUCCCAUCAGCUUCAAAAGAGAAAGAUCUCAGCACGGCAACUUGAAUGCCUCUGAAAUCCACCCUCUGGCUGCCUAGAAAGGUCAAGGUUUUCUGAAGGAAAAGAAGAAGAAUAAGAUUAAAGUUGUGAAUGGCAUAAAGAGGAAGCUGUUAGAUAAGUUCACAGUUCAUUGCUAAAUCUGUGUUUAUUAAGGAAGCUGACUUUUGUGAAAGCUAAUGUAGGCAUUCAACUGGCUUAGGUAUCUCUGAUCAUAAUGAGAAUAGAAUUAUUUCUCCUUUGGUCUGAUAUUAUGGAAACAAAUAUUUAAGAUGUAAUUGACACAAGCAUUAUUUGCAGUGCAAUUAUGGUUGUUAAUUUAAUGAGAACACUCUGCAGAAAGAAGCCAAAGUUUUCCAGGCCUUGCACCUGCUAAGCUUUUAAAGAUCUCAUAAGUGCCAUUCUUUGAGGUGUUCAUCAGUGUUGCAAAGAAAGUCCUCAGGAAAAAGUGCAUACAAUUAUUUAAAAUCUUUUGAAAAUGAGAAAUGAAAGCCUGAAGAUUUUGGUGUGAACUUAGUAGUUGCUUGGUGUAUGCACAAGAAGUUUAGCCUCUAUAUCUAAAUCUUGUCUCUGAAUUGCAGUAACAUCUCAUAGUUUGACUUUAGUACUCAGCAAUAAGGGGAAAAAAAGAAAAAAAUAUAUUUCGUUUCUCUUUCCUUUACCGGAGCAAAGCAGGGCCCUGUCAUAUUUAUGGAGUUAGGGAAGUUUAAGACUUUUAUUGCUUGGAGGGAGCUUCAGAUUUAUGGGUUAAGGGAAGUUUAAGGGGUUUGUUAGUUUAAGGGGGUGUAGCUUCCUAAAUAAAGCCACAAGCAAACUCACUAAACCAGUGUAUCUCUUCAGUGCAUAAACAGAAUGCCCUCUGUGAGCAAGAUGCUGGGAGAGCUCAACAGAGCAAGCUGCAAAGGGCUGAAAUAUCUCUGCAGCCACAGGAGCUCCUGUGUUGUAUGAGGCCUCCUAUGUACCAGUUCUCUCCUCAGGACAGGUUUUUUUCUGGGAUGGUUCUUCUGUGAAGAGUCUUCAGGAUGGUGGCUGAGGAGGAAGGCUGGGCUCAGGAACCGGCCCUAAUGACAGACCUUAUAGGGCUUUCAAGAGAGGAACAGAGGCUGUGCUAAAGGCAGGACACCCUGUACUGAAACAUCUGGCUGGGCUCAGGUGGACCUGGAAAGAGUGCUAACUUCCAAGUGCUGUAGAAACCAUUACUCUGAGAGAGCCUAAUAAGUUAGAUUUCAGGGAAGAGAUGUUGGUUAAAACAGACCAUGAUCAGCACCACGCUUCUCAUUCCAGCUGCUUUAACUCAUGUUUCAUCAGCUAGCUUACACAUCACAGUUAAGCAGCAACUGCAAAGCAAUAGCUGUGUCAAGGCUGCUUGGGAGCUCCUCAUGUCCUCGCUGUCAAAGCAAGCAAAACUAAAUGCUACGAUGAAGCUUGGGGUUGUAACUACUUGUUCAAGAGCAGGCUUGCAUUGCUGUUUCCUUUAUUGCUUUCCUUCCACUUUAUUUCAGUUAUUUUACAGAGUCUUUUUUGUUGUUGUUGUUUGUGAAUUAUACAAAAGAGUAAAUGAAACCCAAAAUGGAUGUAACAGAAUUAUCUGCAGGUCUAACAAGUCCUAAAACUGAGUUCAUGGGAAGGAAGUCACAUCCCUGAAUUCUACAAUUGAAAGGUUACUUCUCAGUCUUAAUAUUUGGCAACAAAAUGCUUUGAGCCUUACGAUGACCUACUGUGAGUGGAGCUCAUGCAUGGAUGACGACCCUCCUCCAAGAAGCCCACUUGGAACAGUGGCACAAAGUUGUGGAUAGUCUGUCUGUGGCUUGGUCAGUGUAGUAUUUUGAUUUGAGUGUGUUCUUGGUAUUAAACGUGGAAAAUAGUGCUAUACUUCGUUUCUACAUGCUAACCCGAGCAGAGCUCUGUGUGGCAUGUUUUAAGAAACGAUGCAGCAAGAAAUUGGGGGAUGUUUUUGUAGUGAAAGGAAGUAAAAGAUUUUAAAUAAAUGUUUGAACUGCUACAAAUUUCACAAUCAGUGCUAUGCAUUUGCACCUCAGAAGAAAUGUAUUUUAUAAACUGCUUAUCACAGGCACCUGUUUCUGGGAGAUCAUUUUAAACAUGAGCUUGUAGCUUGCAAAUAAGCUAACUUUAGGUAUUACAUAUUAGUGGCUAUUUAACCAUUGGAAGGCAAGUUUGGGCUGCUCUCAAAAGUUAUUUCUCCUGUUAGGAAAAAAUACUGGGUUAAUGGAUACAGUUUGUUCUGGUUCCCAUCUUCACUGUGCUCUUUGUUUUACCAGACGAGGAGGCAACGUAGGAGAGAGACAAGAAAGACGGUGUGAUAUGUGGGUUUCUGAAGCUGUUCAGUAUUCAUUUUUAGCAGACUGAUUAAAAAAUGCUUUCCCAAAACAUGAUUUCCAUCCACAGUACAAUUUGUCUGAGAUUCAAGUAUGUGUUUAUGUUGACAGAAAAAAAAAAAUAACAUAGAGUUGAUUGUAAUUUAAGUAGUCAUAAGUCUGAGAAAGGUGCCUUGGGUUAGCUUGUUUCAGAUUUAAAGAAACAGUUUGUGAUGCUUCACCAAUAGCCGAGUUACUGUUAUUACUGACUUGUCAUGUUACUUUUCCUGCUUUGCCUCCAUAUAUUAGUUCCCAGACUCAGUAAUAAGAAAAACCACAGAUCCUGGCCAAGCUGUUUCCCAGGAUAUGGAGUGGAAUGUGGAAGUCAUGAGAAACAAAACACAAAUUAUAAGAGGACUGAUGUCAGGAAGAACUCAUCUUCUCAUUCGUACGUGUAUAUAGCUGGUAUAAAGACUGAGUUACAUCAAAGAAAAGCAAGGGAAGACUUCUAUGUGACGCAUGUAACAUGUUCAAAUAAAACAAACAAAAAUCCUUUUGGUGGUUUCUAGUCUCAGCUGUAAAAUGGUAGCAAACUGCAUUAACAAGAAAAGAAACGUCCAGUGCAGAAUUUUGAAUUACAUGAUUUUUUGAAGUUAUUUGAGUAUAUCCUCAACAGGUUUGUUGAUGACGGAAAGCAGAGUGGUGCAGUUGAUAUAAUAGAAGGAAGGAAUGCCAUCCAGAGAGACCUAGACAGACUUGGAAUGUGGGCCCAUAUGAACCUAAUGAGAUGCAACAAAGCCAUGUGCAAGAUGUUGUGCUUGGGUCUAGGCAAUACCAGACAUAUUUGCAGUCUGGGAGAAGAACUCACUGAGAGCAGCCCUAUGGAGAAGGACUUGAGAGUUCUGAUGGAUGAAAAGCUGAACAUGAACCAACAGUGUGUUCUCACAGGCCUGAAGGCCAACAGUUUCCUGGGCUGCAUCAAAAGAACUGUGACCAGCAGGGAGAGGUAGGUGAUUGUCUCCUCUGCUCUGCCCUCAUCAUGCCCCAUCUGGAGCACCGUGUCCAAGUCCGGGGCCCUCAGCACAGGAAAGAUGUUGAGCUUUUGGAGAGGGUCCAGAGGAGGCCAUGAGACAACUCUCCUCUGAAGAAAGGCAGAGGGAGAUGGACUUCUUGACUUAGAGAGCAGAAGGCUAUGGGGAGACUUCAUUGUGACCUUCCAGUACUUGAAGGGAGUUUGUAAGCAGGAGGGAGACUGUCUUUUUAUGUGAUCUGAUAUUGAUAGAACAAAGGGGAAUGGUUUUAAUCUAAAAAAUUAAAGGAGAUAUGUGUGUUGCUAUGUAUUGCUGGCUUCUCUAAACACUGGCAAAGUACAAUAAAAUAUAUAUAAAAGAAAAUGUAUUCAAUAUCUAUGUUAACUCAGAGUUCAUUCAGGCACAAAAUUAGCAUGUAAUUUACUUAUUAGAAAAGUGAUCAGUAAAAUCCAGAUGCAAGGAACUGUUCAAAGGGUUUGUUGCCAAAAAUAUGAGGAUAUUUUGCCAUGGUUUUGAUUAGUAAAUACAUGGAAAACUGUGAUACUCAUCUUCAAAAACAUUUUUAGUUCAUUAUUUUUGUUAUGUCUGUCCUCUGAUCAGAUCUAAAUUCCAAACUUUACUGUUGUUCAUCUUUGAAUGUAAAGGGGAUGCAGGAACAUCUCUUUACUAUCAAAGCACUGUGCUUGUGCUAACACUUGGGGGCUUUCUUCCUGUUAUGUAGGCAAAAUGUUAAUUUAGGGGGUAGUGCUACAUGCCAUCAAAGACAGUGGUUAUUAGGUGGUUGCAUCAGAUCUAUGACGCUCAACUGAAAGUCUGGUUUUUUUUCUGCGUGGAUUUCAUCCAGACCCCCCCAACUGAGAUGAACUCUUGAAUAGCAAGGAAAAAUAGUCUUUUAUGUAGAAGCAAGCAGGUAAGUUACUUCAGAUGUCACUUUUCAAAUCAAUAACUUUUUUUAUGCUUGCCCUUGUAUUAUGAAAAGUGAGAUACCACAGUGUCUUUUAAUAUUUACUUGUAACACUUGCUGCUUUAGUGGUUUUCUAAACCACUUCAGGUUUUGCAUAAGUUGCCAGUGAAAAUGGGGCUACAAUGGACAGUGGAAUUUAGCAGCGCAGAACCAUGUAGCCAUAAGGACUUCCGGAACACUCCGUUGUUCUUGUUCAUCUCUUCUAAAUUUCUACAAGCUUGUGCUGUAUGUUACUUUCAAAGUUAAAGGCAAGGAGCAUUAAUACUAAUGCUGAAGAUCACAGUUUCAAAUUGAAUAUGGCAAGUUGUUAAAUUUGCCCUGUUUUCAUAGCGGCGUGUCAAAAUGGUUUUUGAAUGUUCACACGGGAAAGAAGAAAUGCUCUGAUGCUUAUGAAUUCUUGUCUUUUGCUCUAUUUCCUGUACCUUUUUGGCAUUCAUCCUACUUGCCACAGAUCUCAUCUACCUGGAUUGUUGACUGUCUCGCUCUGAAUAGAGUGCAGAUGUGGGGGACAAGAUGGAGGAAAAAAUGAGUCAGGAUUUGGAAUGGUUUAUUAUUUGAUUUUCUGUUUCAGUUCAAAUUCUUAUUCCUCUGUAGCUAGUGUAUUUAUUUCACCUUUUUCGUGCUCUAAAAUGCUUUUCCUUUUCUAUCUCCUUUUUUUGUGUAAUGACCUUGCUUUCCUUCUUGUUUCUGAUGCCCUUUAUGAACUCUCUGUCUCCAGCUUCCCAAUAGCUCUACUGAAAAACAGCAGAAGGCUCAGGCACUUUUUUCACUAAUGUAGAAAAACAAUUUUUGACUUUCAUAAACUAAGCCAUUCUAGAUCUGUAUGAAAGACAAUUUGGAAAUAAUUCAGACAUUCAAUGUAGUUUGGAAUCCUGUAUUUGAACCUCUUUUGGGUUGAGGUUUUUUUAUUUUUUUGUGGAUUUUUUUGUGUGUGUGUUUUGUUUGUUUGUUCUGUUUUUCAGGAUAUAAUAGCAUUAAGAUAGAGUUAAUUCACAGGAAAUAUGAAUUUGUUUGAGAAAGUCUUACUGUAGAGAUUCAGAGGGUUGCUAUUUUGAUUCAUUCUUUCUCUUCAGAAAGCUCCAGAGAAAAUGAAGUUUAAAAUUAAACGUCUAGUGGGGAAAUUGGUGCCAAAACAAGGCUUUGAAAUUAAUACUGUAGUUAACAAGUCACGAUUUUUAUGAUUUGCAAGUGAAAUUGCUCUUUUUAAUUAAAAAAAAAAUAUGGAAGAGUGUUUACUUUCCAAACAUGAAAUAGUGUUGGAAGCUGUUCUUAAUUCUCUGGAUCUUCUGUGCUUUUAUCAAUGCUGCUACAAUGUCAGGUAAGCAAACACUGCAAAGAGCCCAAUUUCAGUGUUCCCACCUAAGCUUCUGGGACCAUUCCAAGGGCUUCAGUUGGCAUGGAUCAGCCUUUAUCUGCUAGAAGACUUGAGACAUUUAUUCAUCAAUAAUGUGAGGUAAGAUGCCCUAAUUCUCCCUUCACCUCUUUCUACUCUUCUGACAGGUGACCACGAUCUUUGUUUCCUUUUCUUCCUCUUUUGUUAAAAUCUAGCUUCAGAGUGCUGUUGUUUAAAAAAAAAAAAAAAAAAAAAAAAAAAAAAAAAAAAAAGCAAUUGAGAUCUUAGAAGCUAAAGAAAGCAGCCAUUGUAGUGCUUCUUGGAACAUUUUCAAGGAUGUAGAAGAUGGAAGGUGUUAAGCUAAUGAGAUGUACACUUUAUAUGUGUGUGUUACAGAAUAAUCUGUAAUUUUGUUUUAACAAAAGUCAUGAUGGUAGGAUGUAUCAGGGUUUGAGGAGUAUACUCAUAACAGAUCAAGUUCCUUUGUGUGCUAAACUGGCACUUGUGAGGUUUUAUUUUAUAGGUUUUUUUUUUUUAAGUUUAUGUGGAUACUUUUCCUGUCAUAAAAAUAGAGGAGAGACAACAGGGAAAUCUAAAGUAUGUGCACAUUUUUAAUCACUUUUCAUUCUUUAGCUGCAGUGAGUUGGUUGAUAAACAGUAUUGUUAAAACCCACUAAAGAAUGCAGUUAGCAAUAAAGAAAUAUGUGACAAUAUACUACUGUGUAUAAAAACAAACUUUAAUGGAUUAUAAUGAAAUCCUAUCUUCUUUCGUAAUGUUAUUCAUUUUAGGAGAUGCUAGCUCUGUAAAAAAUGCCCACAAAUCUUGUAUUGCUUAUUUUAUUUAUGGUUAAAGAUCACCUCUACAAUUUGCCAUCCCUGUAAUAGUACUUUAACGUCUUGGUGGGUAAGGUAAUUUUGUAUUAGUGAAUUGAAACGUAUUUAAGCAGUUUCUCUUGAGGUAUGGCUAAGAAAAUUCUUAAAAUUUGUGUAGUUCACCAAGUGCCUUUGCUUAGCAAAUACAGUGGCACAAUGUAGGAACUUGCAGGUGUCUUCUGAGCUUUUAAGGCCAGAGAUGUGUGAAGUACCUACUAGACAAUGGAAAAACAAUAUUCAACAUCAUCUGGCCACCUACAGAGGUGGGCAUUGCUCUAACUUUCACUCUUUAACAGUUUUGAGUAGUAAAAGAACAGAUUUCAUCCACACUGACCAGAGAUCAAACCUAACUGCUUGUAUGAGCCUAGAUAAUACCCAUGUCUUCAUUUGGGAGCAGCAGCCCAGAGCGUACCUGCUGAAAGGCAGAACAGUGCUGGAUUCUACAUUCUGAAUAGAGGAAGGUUGUUGGUGUCUGUUAUACACCCAUCUUGAAGUUUUCAUGGAGUGCUUUCCCUUUGCCGCAAAAUCCCAAGCAGUGCUGGAAGUCGCAAUGGGGCACAGUCCUACCCAGAACACUCACGUACAGGAUCUGCCAGGACCAUGACUGUGAUCAGGCUUAGCCUGUCCACUAGCUGAGCCUCUGUGCAGCUUUAUAAAGUCUUUGGAUUGAUAUGCAAUUGAAACCUACGUAGGGUUGCUCCGAAAGUUAUGCCUCCUGUUUAUUUCCAUGGAAACUGCAACAGCUACAAGAAGCUCAGUAAAUCUCAAUAGCACUGUUUGACAGAGGAAAUUCUCAGCUACAAACACUGUUUUUCAGUGUAGUCAUCAUCAUUAGCCAAUGUCUAUGGACAAGCUGAUGGAGACACUCAUCAUUUCAUGAUGUGACAGCUGUAUGUGGCUGUCUGGAACAUGGAUUGUCUUUCACAUCACUGUCACCACUGCUGAAAUGAACCACCUGCCACCACACCACACUCCCAUCCAUUGUUUGAUCUCCAUAAAUGUUCAGCGAACAUCAAUGAAUAUCAGUUGGUGCAAUUUUUUUUUUUUGGAAUUCAAUUCCACACUUUUGUUUCAUACGCAUUUUUCAGACUACCCCUCUCCUGCUAUCUGAUGCAUGGCAACAAAACAUAAUGGAACAUUGGUGGGGACGUUCAACCUCUACUGCCAUACCACCAGCAUCCACCUAUGACAUCAUGGGCCAACAUAAUAAAUAAGGAGGCAUUACUUUUGGAGCACCCCUCAUACAUUCUCUACUUGAAUGAAAAAAAGGAUAGAUUUGCAUUUCUCAUUGAAGCUGGGUUAGUUCAGAUGUUGUCUUUUCUUAAGCAAUAGUGUUUGUUACUCUUUAACAUUUCACAGCAUUUGUAGAAGCCCAGAAUUGUAUCUGAAAUCACAGGAAAAUACACCCAGCUUUUUCAGGAGAUGGAAUUCCCAAAGAUCCACAAUUUAAUCCUGCUUUUAUUUCACACCAUCUGCCUGAUAUGAAGUCCAUCCAGAUUCUACAGCAUGCCUGCACAAAUUAUAGUUCUGCUGCAGGAACUGUUCGAUCUGCUCGUUGAGCAGGUAGCUUCAAAUAAGGGCACUAAACUGCAGAAGUAGCUAAUAAAUGAAUGUUAGUUGUUAUGCAGUAUACUAAUAACAAACACAAUGAUUUAAUCUAUUUGUUCAUUUUCCAAUAAUAAGCUUAAUUAUAUUUUCAAUAUGCUCAACCAGUAUUAGAUAAUUAAAUUGUGAGAUGAAUAAUUAGUUGUCAGCUUCACUAUUUACAUUCUGUGUAUUUAAGAUUGAAAUGUGUGUCUCAUCUAUUGAGAGAAAACAGCUGUUUGAAAACUAGGUAACCUCUUCAGGUUGUGCUAUUUCUCCUUAUCAGCCUUCUUUCCAUGUAAGUUUGUUGCCUCUUCUUUUCAGGUAUUUGCCUUCAUGGACUGCAAAAUGUUGAUAAGAGCAACACAGAUAAGAAAAUUGGGGGGUCUGCAAACAAACUGUGAAUGAGCCAUCUUGAUGCAUUUUCAUUCUUACCAUCAAACUUUUCUUAUACUUCUCCUGAGACCCAUGAUUUCGAUGGAAGUAUGAGAGCUUCCAAAUGUUGCUAAGCAGCAUUCUCUAUAUAUUGCAAGGCCACAUUUGCCACUCCUUUAACUCUGUAUCAUCUCCUUCCUUGCUGAACUUUAAUGGGGGUAAUUUAUAACGUUGUCAUUGAAAUUGGUCUGAAUGCUUGACAAAUUAUUAUAAUGGUUUUACUUACUCAAUUUUCUGCCCUGAAAGACCCUUACUUGCUUUGCAUUAACUUGCAGGUUCACAUAAGUGUAAUCC
rnacentral:lncRNA from 1 species